rnacentral:rRNA from 1 species
UACGUAGGGACCAAGCGUUGUUCGGAUUUAUUGGGCGUAAAGGGCGCGUAGGCGGCUUGUCAAGUCACUUGUGAAAUCUCUGGGCUUAACCCAGAACGGCCAAGUGAAACUGACAUGCUAGAGUGCAGAAGGGGCAAUCGGAAUUCCUGGUGUAGCGGUGAAAUGCGUAGAUAUCAAGAGGAACACCUGAGGUGAAGACGGGUUGCUGGGCUGACACUGACGCUGAGGCGCGAAAGCCAGGGGAGCAAACGGG